rnacentral:rRNA from 1 species
AACGAACGCUGGCGGCAGGCUUAACACAUGCAAGUCGAACGCAUCCUUCGGGGUGAGUGGCAGACGGGUGAGUAACGCGUGGGAAUCUACCCAGUCCUUCGGAAUAGCUCCUGGAAACGGGAAUUAAUACCGGAUACGCCCUUUUGGGGAAAGAUUUAUCGGGAUUGGAUGAGCCCGCGUAAGAUUAGCUAGUUGGUGGGGUAAUGGCCUACCAAGGCGACGAUCUUUAGCUGGUCUGAGAGGAUGAUCAGCCACACUGGGACUGAGACACGGCCCAGACUCCUACGGGAGGCAGCAGUGGGGAAUAUUGGACAAUGGGCGCAAGCCUGAUCCAGCCAUGCCGCGUGAGUGAUGAAGGCCUUAGGGUUGUAAAGCUCUUUCACCGGUGAAGAUAAUGACGGUAACCGGAGAAGAAGCCCCGGCUAACUUCGUGCCAGCCGCCGCCGUAAAAC